CAUCCUGCUGAAAGCCAUUUCCACCACUCAAUAAAACCUCGCAUUCAUCCUUCAAGUCCGUGUGUGACCCGAUUUUUCCUGGAUUCUGGAAAAGAGCUCGGAAUACAGAAAGCUGUCCCCUGGUCCUUUGCCCUUGUGAAAAAGCAGAAGGUCCAUUGAGCUGGUUAACACUCCAGCUGUCUGUGGUGGCCAAGCUGAAAGAGCUUUGUAACACUGGGGUUGCAGGCACCCACCUCUAGACGCUACCGCAGAGCCAGAGCCCAAAGCCCUCACCCCGGCCUCUGCACUUGCCCAUCUGCGUGCUCCCCCUCUCGCAAGGGGUUUCUGCAGAGGGGGCUACUGAACAGGUGGGAGACCUCCACAGAACCCUUCCAGCAAGCUGUCUUCUAAAGCAAACAAGAAAAGGAAAGUCUGAGCAGUUUUGAUUAGAUUUCCCAGAAGUCAAAGCAAGGAAAAAUGAAAAAGCUUCAUUUCUCACGUUCUUAAAAGAGAGCACAGAUGUUGCAUCAUCUGGUUAGAUACCCUGAGAAUAAAAUCUGGAUCCAGUGAGAGGAAAGAUUCUGGGUGCUCAUGAAAAAAGAAACAAAACAAAACUUGGGAGCCUCUUGAGAGUGUACAGCAUCAGCCCUUGCCAACUCUUGUUUAUAUGCAUUUAACUUUCAGUUA
rnacentral:lncRNA from 1 species